GAGGAGUCAAAGUCAGGUUCGUCACUUUACCACCUUCCUUGUAAAAGAGUGAAAUUAGGAGGAGCUUGAGAGAGAGUAGAGAGAGUAGAGAAAGAAGAGAC